rnacentral:rRNA from 1 species
UGGGGAAUUUUGGACAAUGGGCGCAAGCCUGAUCCAGCAAUGCCGCGUGCAGGAUGAAGGCCUUCGGGUUGUAAACUGCUUUUGUACGGAGCGAAAAGGUCUGCCCUAAUACGGUGGGCUCAUGACGGUACCGUAAGAAUGAGCACCGGCUAACUACGUGCCAGCAGCCGCGGUAAUACGUAGGGUGCGAGCGUUAAUCGGAAUUACUGGGCGUAAAGCGUGCGCAGGCGGUUAUAUAAGACAGAUGUGAAAUCCCCGGGCUCAACCUGGGACCUGCAUUUGUGACUGUAUAGGUAGAGUACGGUAGAGGGGGAUGGAAUUCCACGUGUAGUAGUGAAAUGCGUAGAUAGGCAGAGGAACACCGAUGGCGAAGGCAAUACCCUGAACCUGUACUGACGAUCAAGCACGAAAGCGUGGGGAGCAAACA